rnacentral:lncRNA from 1 species
AUCUGUAGACCCAAUGUGAGGCUCAAACUCACAACCCCGAGACUGAGUCACCUGCUCCGCCAACUGAGCCAGUCAGGCACCCCACUAAAGUCUAAUUUUGCAUUAAGAAAAUUAAGCAUAAUAAAAAGAAUGACCUACUUAAAUGUACUUGGAGUUCUUUCACAUUAGCAUGAACCAAAGACUGAGCAUCAUUUUAAACAUUUUCCAGUUAGCCACAGGAGAACUACAGAUGUAUUUUGGUAAAGGUAUUAAGUGCUUAAUUAUUUAACGGCUGCUUGAUUGAUAUAUGGCAUGGUGUAACUGAGAAAUAAUGGAUUAUGUGCUACUUGAGGGCAGGAACUUUCUUCUGGACCCUUGGGAGUGCCUAAUAAAUGCUUAUUAGAUGAAACAAUACUUGAAUUAGUAUGUCAUUCAUUAGCCUUGCAGUUUCAGAAUUCCUCCAGGCCCCCAAAGAACCUUUUUCUGUAUUCCUGAGAGACUUCUCUAUCACUUUGGAAGAGGUGAUAGAGCACUCAAGUUCCAAGGGUAUAAAAUGUGACUAGGAUAAAGAGGGACUCAGAAACUAAAAUAAAGCGUGUCAACAGCAUGGAGGUAGGAUAACAAGAGGACUGAGUAAAGGUACUAGAAAUCUACCAGAGUAGCUAAUCUAACAAUACAAUAAAGUAUCAUUUCUCUAUUAAUAGCUUUUUGGUUUCAACCAAUCUAUUUUGGAGCAAUUCAAGGAUUACAGUUCAGAUGGUAGAUUUUUGUUGAAUAUAAUCAAACCUUCAUUAGAGAACAAGGAGUCAUUUGCAAAUGGCAUUAUUUAUGAAUCACAUCAAAUGCAGAAUCACUUUUAAAACUUAAAUGUGCUUUGGUUCAGUCACCUGAAGUGGGAAGAAGAAGAGGUGGCAGGAGAUUAAGCUCAAGUUUAUCAGUUUUGAAACAAAAGAAGAAAUCUUAUAAAAGUAUUUUGUUAAUACAUAACAACUGUUCUUUCAGUUGGUAGUUUAGCUAGUAUCAAAAAAAGACAACAGAUGUACAGGUGUGCUCUAUGAACCUAUUUUUGGUACUUUAUUUUAACUAAAAAUUCUAUGCUUUGAUAGAAUUUGCCAGAUUUUUCUUUAAAGAGAAAUGGUUUCAAAUCUGCCACUAAGUAGUCUAUUUCUAGCAUAAAUUUCACUUAUCAUUACAUGAUAGGAGUAGCUAUGUUGCUCAAAAACACAUAAUCCUGAUAUAUAACAUAAUUAUUUUAUAACUGUUAUCACACAUUUAUUGUCUAUAUACCCAGCACAGGGAAGGAGACAGUUUUAAAAAAGGCGGCAGGGGAGAGACUGCUACUGUCAAUCUUUGAAGACGCUAUGUAGAAAGUCAAAAGAAUUCUAGAUUACCAAGCAAUCUUGAGAAACAGAACAGUAGCAAAUGGCAGAUUCCUCUGCUUUCAUCUUCAAGAGGGAAAAAAAAGCCACAAUAACAAAUUUAACUGAAAGAGAUUUUCAAACUCAAGACAGAAUAUAAUAUAAUACUACCUGGUACAUUAUAGACCUGAUGGAGAUAUACAUACAAAAAGAAUGAAUAUGAUUAUGGUCAAAUUCAACUUAAAGUUUAAGCAAAGUCCCAAAUUUAAAGAAGUCUCUUUUCCUUAUUUGAUCUGACCAGAGCAAUCUGCUUUGAGACCAAAGAGAUCUGGCAUUUUACUUCUUCAUUAGCAAUCGAAAAAAGAUGACCUUUGGCUUUCUAACCAGCCAUUCAUUCAUGGUGUCAAUGGUGGAUGGCAGUGACAAUGAAAUGUAUGCUGGAUAUUUGGAUAAUUUCAAUAUUAUGUACAAUCAAUAGCUUAUAACCAGUGAAAAUAAUAAGAACAAAGUUCAGCGUAAAUGUCCAAGAUAAGACACAAAAAAGCAGAGAAAGUGCUUAAGUCUACAGGUCUUCCCUGAAAGCUUCAAAAAUGUUUAACUUUUAAGUAGGUAGGGCUUUUAAUAGAAUUUGCAUAGCAGCUUACAAUAUAAUUUGCAUUUAAAAAUAUGGAGAUUCUUCUAUGUUUUUGAAAACAUACAAAUAUAUCCACAUGCAUAUAAAUUAAACAAGAAGACCUGGAGGUUCUCACAAAAUUAAAAAAAAAAUCCAUCACAACCUUUUCUCAAAAGUGGUCACACUUCUGUCCAUCAAAAUCAUUUACAAUGAAAACUUUUUCUGGGAGAAACAUAAUCUUGUCCAGAUUCCACACAGCUAAAUUUAAAAAAAAAGAAUAAAUUUUGGUUUAUUAGCUAAGUGCAUUUAAUCAGCUGAAAAAAGCUUUGUUGCCAUUCUACUUAGGAAGAUAAAUUAGGAAAACAAAUAAUCAGAGACAACUUUAAUCAUUUGUUGGUUAGAUUUUUCCACUUAUAAAAAUAUAAAAAAUAAAUAAUUCAACCUCUCCUGCCAUCUAAUAAUGUUCCACAAUAAAGUUGUGAGGGUACAGCUGAUAAAAGCAGGCACUAUCAGACUUUACCUAGCCUAAAAAGUGCUAAAACAUGGCUUUAAAAUAGAUGAAUGACAUUUAAUGUAAUAUUUUUGAUUGCUUGUGCAUGUUCCAAUAUUUAACCUGAAACUGUCUACUAGAUAGGUGAGUUUACAGUUAUAACUAUCUAAUAAAUACUGUAUAAACAUACAUUAAAGUAUUUCUUCAUAUAAGAUCUUAGAAACUAAUUUUCAGAUAAGGUUUGUUUGAUAACUUCAGGAAAGGGCUUACCUUUUUCAGAAAAGAAAUAACUGAGCCUUUUCUUUCUUUCUUUUUUUGGAGAGCAAAAUGAGAAAUUUAGGGAGUGAGGAAGAAUUUUCACAUGCCAAUUGGCUACUGGUAGACACAUCUGUGUGGAAUAUGGAGAAGAUGUCUAAGCCCCAGGUCUGGGGUUAGUUGAGAGCACAGGAAGCGGGUCCAUUGGGAUGAGGUGGACACUACUCUGCAGUUUCCAUUCUACACAUGGAAGCCCACAACAUUCCCAACAAUAUUCCCAAUUCAAAAUGAAAAAGAAAUGACAAGUUAAGCUGUUCUAUAAAAUAUGUGAAAUACCAAAAAUGCCCAUUUUUAGUUACCAUUUGAAAAUAUUUUGCCAUAUUUUGGCAUCUUAAUACAAAAUACCUAUUUAUCUAGGCUGUCCCAUUCAUAAAAAGCACUUCAUUUGUGGUUUGAAAAUUCCACAAACACACUUAACUGAAGAACAACCUGGUCAUCCAUGAUGAUGAUUGGAAAGCUGCUGAUGUUAAAAAAGCAGCUUAAGGGCUCUUGCUGUCAGGGGUGCUAGUGGUCAAAGGAAACCUCCCACAUAUUUUUAUUUCACAUUAAGACUCCAAAGAUUAAAAAACAAAACAAAACAAAAAAAACCCUAUGGACCUUGGUGUUAUAUGUGACAGUUCAAGCUUGAACAAAAUGAGUCAAAAUGGCUCACACGCCUUACCUUCUCCUGCUCACAUCUUCAUCACAUCUUUUUUAGAGACCUUUUUCAUAGAAUUUAUGAGCACCAGGGCUUAGAAGUUCCCCCUGAAAAUAUUCUCAGUGGCUUAGCCUUUCACACCACCACCAACAACAAAAAACCCCAAACAAAUGGCUUUGCUGCAGUCUGUGGCUGCAUGUGCAACUUUUCAGGUUAAUAAUGCUUUCAUGGCAAAGAGUGUCUAAGCUCCCUUAUCUGAGGGUAUUAUGUGUUGAAAUUCUGCUUCCAGAAAUCAUAGCUGGACCUUCAAGAUUCUAUUUUUUUGUUCCCUUGCAAAUUUACUUCACAUGGAACCAAACAUAGGUUUAUAAAUCCCUAAAAGAUAAAGUUCUUGAAAGACAUACUCUAGAUUUCAAUUUCCAGUUUUAGGUGGAUCAAAUAACAUUUCUAGAACUGUAGCUGGGGGAAGAACAGUUCUCUCUCCCUGGCCUCUACAUGUGGUUAAUCUCAUGUACAAGGAGGACUGACCGACAGGCAGAGGGGAGACAAUGGGGUUACAUUGUCUAAUUCACUAACUCUCUCCUCAUGAAUCUGCUCUUUAAGAUGUUCCACCUAGGUCAGUCUGGACUCACACCAAAUAGCUCAUGUUUUGCAUUUAUGGUUGUGGGUUUUUCCUAUUUGGAGUGCUACCCUCUCCUCCACUCUCCAGAAUGCUCACAUCUUCUUUAUGGCACUCCUGGUAAAUCUCGUGAGAACUGUUCCUAGACUUUCCUUCAGAGAACAUCCAAGUCAAUAUAACCUUUUCUUUCAGAUCUGGGGGCUGUGGUAAUCUUGACAUCUUAUACAGCUAUUAUACUAUUUUAAAUGUUUUCAGAUAUAUACCUCCCUCAUU